AUAAAAACCAUCACACUCAAAUAGAUGGUGACAAGCAGGAAUUCCCGGGAAAUUGACAAUUUUUGGACCUCUCGAUUCUCGGGAAAUUUGGUCGAAGCAAAAUUAUAUAAACUAAUAAGAAAAAAAAAACAUUUGAAAAUUCGAAAUUAUUUAGAACAUUGGAUGUUCAAUGUAAGAUGUUCAAGUUCGAAUGAACCAAUGCUUCUCUUAUCUUCUAAUUCAGAAAGUGUAAAUUUUAACUUAUCAAAAAUUCCAAUAACUAUAAUUGGGAGAACUUAAAAUAAUGUGGACCCCAAAAUUUACCUUAAAGCAUACUUAGCAGUUAGCCACAAGAAAAAGUCUAAUUUUUUCAUAUUUUUGUUUAUUAUUUCUAAGUGGGAAAAGCCUUUUCAAGAUAAGUAUAAUUAAUUUCCAUAUCCUCUUUCAAGCAUAGCAAUCCUUAUAAUCUAUUUUUUUAAUUCUUAUUAAUUUAAUUUCGCUGUAUCAAGGUAAUUUCCUUUUUUUUAUGUAAUGGAGUAAUUUUGUGUUCCGCUUAAACCUCAAUAUUAAAUUAUAUUUUAUAAAAAAAAACUUUGGAAAUCUUUGUAAAGUCAGCCAAAUGUGAACAUUCGGGUUUUCUUGAUUACUAUUUCUUCAAUGAAUAUUUAACAAAAAUCUAUUAACAAGUUCAUACAACAAGUUGUAUCGCAGAUUCAGAAAAAAAUCAAGAGGUAGAUCAUAGUUCCCAAAAAUGAUGAGGCUACUAAUUAACGUUUUAUUGAAUAAGUAUGAAUAAAUCGUAACUGAAUUCAUUGAAAAGAAACACAUUUAUAACUUUUGUUUAUACAUUACUGGCACUAUUGGCAUAGUUAUAAACACUACCGGGUCCCGGGAACUACCGGGUCCCGGGAACUACCGGGUCCCGGGAACUCCCGGGAAAUUUCCAAAUUCAACUCUCGAUUCCCGGGAACUUGAAAAUCUCGAGAAUAGUCACACUCUACACUCAAAGCUUUUAGAUUCGUUUGUGUAAAUGUGAAAAUCUAGGUGAAAUCACACUGGAUAGCCCAACACAUGGAAUCCAUGAAAUAAAUAAAAAAUGUAUGUGAAAGAUAAGCAACUUUGUCCAUUCCAUUAAAACUCAACAAAACAAAAAUUUUCAAGGAAAAUGUUACAAACAUUCUUCAAAUUAUUGUCCCUAGAAGCAAAAUUAAGUGGAACUUUGUGUUUUCCCAAAAAAUAUUGCUGUUUUUGGAGUUGGAAUUUUGCUUUGGUUUAAAUUCUUAUGGGUCCGCGAUAGUGGUGUUUCUGCAAAUCAAAAUUUUCAAGAAAUUGUAUAAUAUUUUACUUUUACGACUAAAAAGUUUGUGGGCAUGCCAAUCCAUGGAACUUUGUCGAAGACACCCAAAUUUUACUUUUUCACUCUUGCUACAAGCAAUUGAAUACAAGCAGCAUAUCAAACCAGUUUUUUUAAUAUAUCAAUUCAGGAAUAUAAUAUAUACAAUUUAUGUGCUCUUAAAAAACCAACAAUUUUAUGUUGAAAAAAAAAAUAUUUUGCUAGAAAUUUAACAAAAGUCAAAGCAUUUCUUGUGUUAGAAAUAUUCAAUUCAAACAUUUCAGUAUUUCGAAAACGUAGGCCAAUCUCAACGCACAAGUUUGCAUUUGAAACGAUAAAAAUAUCUCAAAUGCCAUUUUCUUUAAACUUGAAAUAUCUUAUUCUUUUUAUUUCAGUUUUUCAAUAGAAAUGUGUAAAUUUCAAUUUAAUAGCUGAUUAUAUAUAAAAAAAACUUCAAAACAUAAAAAAGCUUGAUGGUUCCUGAUGCUGGAAAAAAUGGUGAAAUUUAAAUUGAAUUUUAUAAACUGUAGUUGAAAUAUAAAAUCUCUAGCUAUUUCAAAGAAUUGAUAUAAAACUCCUGAACUUUUUGCCACUUGGGCGCCCCUUUUGAUAAAUGAAUUUAGUGAAUUUAAUUUUAAAUUUAUUUCUAGUAUAACUAUUAAAAUAGUUGAUUUUGGCGCCCCAAGUGUUUAACAUAAAAUAAUAUUUGUAAUAUUCCGAUCCAGAUUAUCGAGUUAUUUUGUAGUCCUACUUUAAAAUUUAGCGCCCCUUUUGUUCUGAACACCUUACUAGGAUUUUAUAAUAACAUGACAAAUUUGAUCAAUCAUCGUUUUCGGCGCCCCCCAAGGGCUGGCGCCCUUGGCGGUCGCCAACUGCGCCAACCCCUAGGUACGGCGCUGCGACUGAGUAAACUCCAGAUUUAUUUGUAGUUCUUCAAUUUAUCGUGUUGUAAUAUGACACACAUACCAAGCCGGGACCGUGGUGUAGAGGUAAGCGUGGUUGCCUCUCACCCAGUCGGCCUGGGUUCGAUCCUAGACGGUCCCGGUGGCAUUUUUCGAGACGAGAUUUGCCUGAACACGCCUUCCGUCGGACGGGGAAGUAAAUGUUGGCCCCGUUCUUACCUCAUUCCUGAUAUCCCAAUUCUUUUAUUAGUGUGUGUAGUUCGAGUUAUGGUUUGAUUAUCUUUUUAUGUCCAUCGUUCGUAUAAUCUCAUGUUUAUUUUAUUUUUUUUUUCUUAUCACUUGAAUAACCCUUUCUUCAAAUCCAGGUGCUGAAAAUAUUAUACACACUCAAAUUCCAUUCUUGACUUCGGCAGAAAUUUCUGCCGAAAGUGUUCGUCAGAAUGAUUUGCUGCCGAAAUCUCGGUAGAAAUUCAAAAAUUGCCGAAUUUGUCAGAUAUUUCAACCGAUACUUCGGCAGAUUGGAAAUAAAUGCCGAAGUUCGUCACAUUAUUUUAACGAACAUCUCGGUAUAAAAAAAACCUGCCGAGCUCGGCAAAAUCCAGCUGUCAAACGCGUGGAAGUGCCGAACUGUUCGGCUAGAUUUUUGAGUAGCCAUAUUUGUUUCAAUUUUGUGUUGUGAUAAUUUGUGCCGGUUCCAUGAAAUAUUCCGGAUUUUCUUUUUGAAAGGCAAGUCCAACAGUAAGCAGGCACGCGCUGAAGGAAGUGGACGUAAGGAUCAAUAAUAAGCUCGUGCAAUGGGGAGAUAACUGCAUCUGAUAUUCCGCAGCUAUUUAUUGUAGCGAAGGAAUUUAAGGAAGGAGAAUCCUGUCUUGCUUGCUUGGCGAAAUUAGCAAAAGUUAAACUCUAUUGCUGAAAUGCUCCUCUGCGGCCGAGCACAACAGCUAACAAAAUCCUUCUUCAGCUUACGUAAAUAACCACUUGUAUUGAUUGUGAUAACAAUGACGAAAAAUAAAAAUAUCAACUUAUCCGUUAUUGCAUCUUUAUUUAUUUAAAAAACGUAAAUACCGAAAAGCUCGGUUGGUUUUGUUCUAAAACUGCCGAGAUUUUCAGAUAAAUUAUUUUUAGAUAUGCCGAAAUCUUCGGCAGAAAAACGGCCACUGUCAAAAUUCGAUUUGCCGAGACUUCAGCAGAACAAUUUUCUGCCGAGCUAUCUGCCGAGCGCUCAGUUGUUCUGUUUUCGGCAGAAUUCUGCCGAAGUUCGGCAUAAAAAUCUGAGUGUGUAUUCAUAACUAAAAAAGAAACAUUAAUACAUUCACACACAAAUUAGCCAAGAUCAAUGUACAGUAUCCUGAGCUGGCGCUCGUAUUUGCCCUUUCCGAAUUGGUAAAGGGCAGUCUCAAGCCCUCCGACCAUUCCACUUUUCGAUGGGUUCGGGGUCCCAGCCAUGCGGAGGGACAUUAACCAUUGGAAAGUUUCAAGCUUUAACCCUUUAGAGCCUGAAUUUUCGAAAAAAUAUGUUUUAAUCUAAUGAUGGGAAAAUGAUUUUUAAGACCAUACGAAAAUUAUAGGCUAGUUUUGAAAAUUUUCAUUUUUGGGUCAUAUAUGACCCAUCAGGCUUGAAAGGGUUAAAUGCUCUCUAUGAUUUUUUACAUUAUGUUACCUUUUUUUAAAUGAAAUAAGAAAUUGAAUGUAAAUAGCACAAACAUUUUUUUCUUAAUUUCUCAAGCAAGGAAAUCAGUGAAGAGUUUUUAGCUCUAAAUGUCUCUUUGGACAUUUGCCAUUUAAUUACCUGUAUUAUAAAUAUUUGUUUAAGCAAGAAAAUCAGUGAAGGGUUUAAG